rnacentral:rRNA from 1 species
GAUGAACGCUGGCGGCGUGCCUAAUACAUGCAAGUCGAGCGAACAGACGAGGAGCUUUCUCCUCUGACGUUAGCGGCGGACGGGUGAGUAACACGUGGAUAACCUACCUAUAAGACUGGGAUAACUUCGGGAAACCGGAGCUAAUACCGGAUAAUAUAUUGAACCGCAUUGUUCAAUAGUGAAAGACGGUUUUGCUGUCACUUAUAGAUGGAUCCGCGCCGCAUUAGCUAGUUGGUAAGGUAACGGCUUACCAAGGCAACGAUGCGUAGCCGACCUGAGAGGGUGAUCGGCCACACUGGAACUGAGACACGGUCCAGACUCCUACGGGAGGCAGCAGUAGGGAAUCUUCCGCAAUGGGCGAAAGCUUGACGGAGCAACGCCGCGUGAGUGAUGAAGGUCUUCGGAUCGUAAAACUCUGUUAUUAGGGAAGAACAAAUGUGUAAGUAACUAUGCACGUCUUGACGGUACCUAAUCAGAAAGCCACGGCUAACUACGUG